rnacentral:rRNA from 1 species
UACGUAGGGUGCAAGCGUUGUCCGGAAUUAUUGGGCGUAAAGAGCUCGUAGGCGGUUUGUCGCGUCUGCUGUGAAAACGCGAGGCUCAACCUCGCGCCUGCAGUGGGUACGGGCAGACUGGAGUGCGGUAGGGGAGACUGGAAUUCCUGGUGUAGCGGUGAAAUGCGCAGAUAUCAGGAGGAACACCGGUGGCGAAGGCGGGUCUCUGGGCCGAUACUGACGCUGAGGAGCGAAAGCGUGGGGAGCGAACAGG